UUUCGAAUCAUUCACAAUGGGCGAAAGCCUGAUGGUGCGACGCCGCGUGAGGGAUGAAGGCCUUCGGGUUGUAAACCUCUGUCACUGGGGAAGAAACGCUUCAAGUUAAUAGCUUGAAGCCUGACUUAACCCAGAGAGGAAGCAGUGGCUAACUCUGUGCCAGCAGCCGCGGUAAUACAGAGACUGCAAGCGUUAUUCGGAUUCACUGGGCGUAAAGGGUGCGCAGGCGGCCGUGUGUGUUAGGUGUGAAAGCCCGAGGCUUAACCUCGGAAUUGCGCCUAAAACUACACGGCUAGAGCAUUGGAGAGGGUAGCAGAAUUCAUGGUGUAGCAGUGAAAUGCGUAGAUAUCAUGAGGAAUACCAGAGGCGAAGGCGGCUACCUGGACAAUUGCUGACGCUCAGGCACGAAAGCGUGGGGAGCAAAAG
rnacentral:rRNA from 1 species